GAGCGGCGAACGGGUGAGUAACACGUGAGCAACCUGCCCCUGACUCUGGGAUAAGCGGUGGAAACGCCGUCUAAUACCGGAUACGACCUUCCGUCUCAUGAUGGUGGGUGGAAAGUUUUUCGGUCAGGGAUGGGCUCGCGGCCUAUCAGCUUGUUGGUGGGGUAACGGCCUACCAAGGCGAUUACGGGUAGCCGGCCUGAGAGGGCGACCGGCCACACUGGGACUGAGACACGGCCCAGACUCCUGCGGGAGGCAGCAGUGGGGAAUAUUGCGCAAUGGGCGGAAGCCUGACGCAGCGACGCCGCGUGGGGGAUGACGGCCUUCGGGUUGUAAACCUCUUUUACCACCAACGCAGGCCCGGGGUUCUCUCCGGGUUGACGGUAGGUGGGGAAUAAGGACCGGCUAACUACGUGCCAGCAGCCGCGGUAAUACGUAGGGUCCGAGCGUUGUCCGGAAUUAUUGGGCGUAAAGAGCUCGUAGGCGGCGUGUCGCGUCUGCUGUGAAA
rnacentral:rRNA from 1 species